GGUUGCGUGGCCCAGUGGUUAAGGCAUCUGCUUUACAGAAAUGAAAAUCCUUCCUAGUCUGGUGGAUAUCAGACCAGGGUUCUUUGUUCUGUAAUCACUCGCAGAGGAUCGCAGGUUCGAGCCCUGCCGCGAUCA